rnacentral:rRNA from 1 species
AAUGAGGAUAAUUUACAACCCUUACCGAAAGCAAUUGGAGGGGCAAGUCUGGUGCCAGCAGCCGCGGUAAUUCCAGCUCCAAUAGCGUAUAUUAAAGUUGUUGCAGUUAAAAAGCUCGUAGUUGAAGUUCUGAUUGUUCGGGCCUCGCGCUUUAUAGCCGAGGAACCGACAGUCAUCCGCUUGCAAAUAUAUGUUCGCCUUUAACCGGGUGGCUAUAUGAGUAAGCAAUUUACCUUGAGAAAAACAGAGUGUUCCAGGCAGGUUUGUCCGGAAUGCAUUAGCAUGGAAUAAUAGAAUAUGACUGAAGUCGAUUUAUUGGUUUAAGGCUUUAGUAAUGAUUAAUAGGAACAGUCGGGGGCAUUGGUACUUGACAGUCAGAGGUGAAAUUCUAGGAUUUGUCAAAGACUAACAAAUGCGAAAGCAUUUGCCAAGGAUGUUUUCAUUAAUCAAGAACGAAAGUUAGGGGAUCAAAGACGAUCAGAUACCGUCCUAGUCUAA